rnacentral:rRNA from 1 species
AUUGAACGCUGGCGGAAUGCUUCACACAUGCAAGUCGAACGGCAGCACGGACUUCGGUCUGGUGGCGAGUGGCGAACGGGUGAGUAAUAUAUCGGAACGUAUCCAAUAAUGGGGGAUAACUAAUCGAAAGGUUAGCUAAUACCGCAUACGCCCUGAGGGGGAAAGCUAGGGACCGCAAGGCCUGGCGUUAAUGGAGCGGCCGAUAUCUGAUUAGCUAGUUGGUGAGGUAAAGGCUCACCAAGGCUUCGAUCAGUAGCUGGUCUGAAAGGACGACCAGCCACACUGGAACUGAGACACGGUCCAGACUCCUACGGGAGGCAGCAGUGGGGAAUUUUGGACAAUGGGCGAAAGCCUGAUCCAGCCAUUCCGCGUGAGUGAAGAAGGCCUUCGGGUUGUAAAGCUCUUUCGCAAGGGAAGAAAACUUAUCCUCUAACAUAGGGUGAGGUUGACGGUACCUUGAUAAGAAGCACCGGCUAACUACGUGCCAGCCGCCGCGGUAA